UACGUAGGGUGCAAGCGUUAAUCGGAAUUACUGGGCGUAAAGCGUGCGCAGGCGGUUGUGCAAGACCGAUGUGAAAUCCCCGGGCUCAACCUGGGAACUGCAUUUGUGACUGCAAGGCUAGAGUACGGCAGAGGGGGAUGGAAUUCCGCGUGUAGCAGUGAAAUGCGUAGAUAUGCGGAGGAACACCAAUGGCGAAGGCAAUCCCCUGGGCCUGUACUGACGCUCAUGCACGAAAGCGUGGGGAGCAAACAGG
rnacentral:rRNA from 1 species